AAAACAUGUCUUUUUGAAAAUAAUAAAAAGUCUAAUCUGCCCACUGAAUUUAUUUAAAGGGCUGCAGUAUAUUGACUGUACAAAGGUAGCAUAAUCAGUAGUCUUUUAAUUGAAGACUUGUAUGAAUGAUUUGAUGAAAUAUAAACUGUCUCUUUAUUAAAAAUAAAAUUUAAUUUUUUAGUUAAAAAGCUAAAAUAACUAUAAAAGACGAGAAGACCCUAUAGAGUUUUAUAAUUAUUUUAAUUUGAUAAUUUUUUAUAUAAAUUAAAUUUUAAUUUAAAUAAUUAUUUUAUUGGGGUGAUAGAAAAAUUAAAUGAACUUUUUUUAAUUUAAAACAUUAAUUUAUGAUACUAUGAUCCAUAAUUUAUGAUUAAAAGAAUUAAUUACCUUAGGGAUAACAGCGUAAUUUUUUUUUUUAGUACAAAUAAGAAAAAGAGUUUGCGACCUCGAUGUUGGAUUAAGAUAAAAUUUAAAUGCAAAAGUUUAAAAUUUUUGAUCUGUUCGAUCAUUAAAAUCUUACAUGAUCUGU
rnacentral:rRNA from 1 species